rnacentral:rRNA from 1 species
UCCUACGGGAGGCAGCAGUGGGGAAUAUUGCACAAUGGGCGCAAGCCUGAUGCAGCCAUGCCGCGUGUAUGAAGAAGGCCUUCGGGUUGUAAAGUACUUUCAGCAGUGAGGAAGGUGGGUAUGUUAAUAGCAUAUUCAUUUGACGUUAGCUGCAGAAGAAGCACCGGCUAACUCCGUGCCAGCAGCCGCGGUAAUACGGAGGGUGCGAGCGUUAAUCGGAAUUACUGGGCGUAAAGCGCAUGCAGGUGGUUUGUUAAGUCAGAUGUGAAAGCCCGGGGCUCAACCUCGGAAUUGCAUUUGAAACUGGCAAACUAGAGUACUGUAGAGGGGGUAGAAUUUCAGGUGUAGCGGUGAAAUGCGUAGAGAUCUGAAGGAAUACCGGUGGCGAAGGCGGCCCCCUGGACAGAUACUGACACUCAGAUGCGAAAGCGUGGGGAGCAAACAGGAUUAGAUACCCUGGUAG